rnacentral:lncRNA from 10 species
GAGAUGAAAAUAUACUGUCUACGUUGUUCAACACAAUAGCUAAUGGCAACUGUGGCAGUUGAACACCCGAAACGUGAUGAAUGUGACUGAGGAACUGAACUUUUAGUUUCAUUGUGACAUGAUGAAUGAAUUUAUUGAGCCCCAGGAAGAAGGAAAAUUAAAGAAGAGCAAAGAAUAAUAGCUGGACAGAAGAUGGGGGUCAUUGAACCUAUAUCCUAGUUGCCAGACCAGUAAACUGACCAUGGGACCUGGGGGAGGCAGCAGAUGACCGAAAACCUGGAGUGAUGUGGCUGAAUACCGCAUGAUCUGAAGACUGCACUGGUGGCUGCGUAUUUUGAUUUCAGAUAAAUGCAUGGGGGCAAGAUGGCAGAUAGGAGGCAGGACCAGCUUGCAGCUCCUGCUGAGAUGGACAGAGCAGCAUGUGGAGACUCGUACUGUAAACCUUUGCUCCAAGAAGUACUGCAGGAACAUACCAGGAAAGCUGAGAGAAUCCACAGACCCUUUGAAGAAACUGGAUCACUGUUGCAGGCCCCCUGAGAUGCCGAAAAACUGUGAGUCUGCUUGCUUUGUCAGUGGGGAAGCUGGUGGUCUGGGACAAGUUCUCAGCCCUGGUCACUGGUUGCCCUGAAAUAGACUCGGUGCUGUUGUAGGGCACAGUGGGAAUGACACCAGCCUUUAGGGCUGCAGGCUGCAUGGGAGCAGGGUGAGGCCCAUGACCGCUGACUUUCCCCCACUUGCUGGCAAACUGUAUGGUUCAGCAGAAGCAGCCAUAAUCCCCCUGGGAAU